rnacentral:rRNA from 1 species
UACGUAGGGUGCGAGCGUUAAUCGGAAUUACUGGGCGUAAAGAGUGCGCAGGCGGUUUUGUAAGCCAGGUGUGAAAUCCCCGGGCUUAACCUGGGAAUGGCAUUUGGGACUGCAAGGCUUGAGUGCGGCAGAGGAGACUGGAAUUCCUGGUGUAGCAGUGAAAUGCGUAGAUAUCAGGAGGAACACCGAUGGCGAAGGCAGGUCUCUGGGCUGACACUGACGCUCAUGCACGAAAGCGUGGGGAGCAAACAGG